GCCCGCCGCCGCCGCCGCUGCUGCCGCCGCCGCCGCCGCGCCCCGAGCCCGUGAGCGCGCCCGGCCCGCCCCGCGCCGGGUCCGGAGCGAGGGGCGGGAGCGGCAGCGCCCGGCGGUGCGCGGUAAACAACGGGGAGGGGCCGCGGUGACGGCGGAGGGCGGGCGCAGGGAGCCGUGAGGGCGCGGGGCGGGCCGGGCCGAGCCGCCAUUUCCCGCCUAGGGCUGCGCGGGAAAAAAUAAAUCACGGCGCCGGGAUUGUUGGGGUGGCAAAGGAGCUGUGGGAUCGGCGGGUUCGAGCUGUGGGGUCGGUGGGUUCGAGCUGUGGGAUCGCCGCCGCCGUGUCAGCACCGAGUGCCACCUGCGGGAUUCCCUCCAGCGCCUCCCGAGACGGGGAUUCCACCGCCUCAUUCCACCGCCUCACCGGCGCGUUCUGUUUCUAAUCUCUAAUGUCGAAGGAGUUGAUUCUAGUGUCCAGCCGAAAUCUCCCCUGGACAAUGCGCGGCUGUUCCCUCUCCUCCUGUCCCUGUUCCCUGGCAGCAGUGCUGUCCCCUCCUGUCAGGAGCUGUGCAGAGCCGCAGGUUCCCCCACGAUCUCCUUUUUCAGGCUGAGCCCCUUUCCCAGCUCCCUCAACCCCUCCUGGGGCUCCCGACCCUUCCCCAGCUCUGUUCCCUUCUCUGGAUCUGAAUACAUGACCAGGUGUAAACCAUCUGAUCAGAAGAGGUGUGAAGUAUUUUUACUUUUUUUUCAGAAGCAAGUGUGUAGCUCAAAUCACAGAAUCACUCCAUUUGGAACUGACCACAGUGGGUCAUCUUGUCCCACGUCCCUGUUCCAGCAGAGAGGACCCCAGCAGGGCCAUCCCAGAGCACAGGAUUGUGUCCAAAUGGUUAUGGAAUAUCCCCAGGGAGAGAGACUCCACAGCCUCACUAGACAAUCCUGAGAGCUCGGUCACUGCACAAGAAGUUCUGCCUUAUUUCCAGGGGGAUCUUCCUGGGAUCAUUCCUGCCCAUUCCUCCUGUGCCGUUGCUGGACCCCGCAGAGCCUGGCCUGGUCCCUGCAGAUGCUGGCAGACAUUGGUGAGGUCCCCUCAGUGCAUCCUCACAAGGCUGACCAGCCCCAGCUCCCUCAGCUUUUCCUCAUAAAAGAGUCCAUUAAUCUUUCUUGUAACCUCUGCUGGACCCACCCCAGGAGCUCCAUGUCCCUCUUGUACUGCAGAUAUAUGGAUGGUAGGCUUGGCUGCUUCUCUCACAGCAAAUACUCUGUCUUUUUCCUAAAAGGCAUGUCUGGCUCUCCAGGAAUUCCCAGAGCUGCUGGUUGCUGGUGCAUGAGGAUAUAAAUUACAGUGUACUUGUCCUGAUCCUACCCUCCUCUGUACCUGCCAUUACCCAGAGCCUUGGGCCUGAUGGUGAGGAAAGUACAUGGGGAGACCCACCCCAAAAAAUGGCUCUUUUAUGGGGCUACCAGAGUGUAAAACCAAGAGAAAACCUUUUAAAAAGGCAUGAUGGUGUAUUUAACAUAAAUAAAGAAUUGUAACCUCCUUUGCCUCCUAGAAAAAAAAACAACAAACUAAUGUAUAUUCAAGCCUCCAUUGUAACCUUGCUACAUUAAAGAUAGGUAUAAUUUUAUAAUUAAUUAAAUACAUGGGGAAAAUCCUUCUGUAGCCGGCAUAGACACAGGCAACAUGAAUUUUAGUGAUGUUGGUUACAAUUAUCUUCUUUUUGCACUAAAAGAGGAAAACACUGACAUUUUGCAUUAAUAAAAUAUUUAUAAAUUUAUCUAUGAAAAGUUUUACUUAACAGUAACAAAACUUCAUGGCAUUAACUCCCCAUUCCUGAAAGUGUCCAAGGCCAGGUUGGAUGGGGCUUGGAGUAACCUGGGAUAGUGGAAGGUGUUCCUACCCAUGGCAGGGAGUUGGAACUGGGUGAUCUUUAAGGUCCCUUCCAACCCCAGCCAUUCUGGGAUUCUGUGAUUCCUUUCAGCUGCUAAAUUGGGUUGCAGAAAUGACCAUUUGGUUUAAUUCCAGCAAUUUAAGCAGCUGUUUUUGUUGUAGCUCUUCCUGGCUGUGAAAGAAGGCUGUGGGCCCAGCCUCGAGGAAUUUCUGCUCUGCAGCAGUGCCACAUCCAGUUUCUGCAGAAAAUGACUUAACAGCUCGGGGGCUUUGUUUCAUUCCUGCAGUCAACAGAUUUAAGCAUUUUGCUGUGAGCAUUCAAAUCACUGUGUUUUUUUCCAGUGUAGAAAAAAUCAUUCCAAAUCUACCUGUGCUUUCUGCCUCCAAAACUAACACUCCCUACAGAGCAGUACAGGCAGAGAUACCUGUAUUGCAGGUUUCUGGGACUUGUAUUUUAGGUUUUCCUGUCCUACUCUUAUGACAAACACUUGCACGGGGAGUGAGCACGAUGCCACUGCUUGCAUUGCAUCCAGCUGUGCAAGUUCCAACCUGCUCCUUGGCUUUGGCUUCUCCAGACAAGAGUCUUGCAGUUACAAACAGUCCCUCACAGGCUGGAUCAGGCACAGGGGAACAGGAGUUGGUACAUGUUGGCUGGUGGAAUUAGCCCUGCUGCCUGUGAAGGCUGGGAGCUGCUGCUUCUGAGCUAUUAUGCAGCUUUAUCACAACUCUGGUUAUGUUGUAACCCUGCAAGUGCUUGAUCUUUUACCCGCCCAGGCACUGCAGGCAUUUUUAAUUAUCUGAGGGUUAAUUUGCAUAGGAGCUUUUGCUGAAACAAUAAAUUCAUACCUCUGUUAUUAUCUGGUAUGAGUUUCUGUAUCAAUAUUUAUAUUUGGGUAAAACCAAAGAAGCUUCCUGCUACCAUUAAGACAAAAGAAUUGCUUCAGAGCAAGUUCAGGAGUCAGCCAGCACUAAGAACACCUUCCAAUUCUUUGCAGGGAAAGGGAAAUUGUAAUGUGUGGUGGGAGAACAAACGUUCCAAUGCCUCUUUCCUACGCAGGGAUGAGGAGACAGAAACAUCUUGUCUGCUGAAAAGCACGUUUUGCAAGGCUUGACAAAUACAUUGUUCACCUCGAGCCAGUGUGGUCUGUGUGAUUUUAAUGCUGGUAAGAUUGUUUCUGCAGCUCGUGUGGUAAAACUCCAGUCCAACAGCUCACUGUGUGUUCAUCUUCAUCAGGAAUUUGGUAUUUGCUUCAGUUUAGAGGGGGAACUGCUGUUUGUGGUGAUAUAAAAGGGGGAAGUAGAGUGAGGGGAUGUGCCAGGAGGGGCUGUCUCUCCCCGUGCUUGUCCCUUGCUGCUGCCAUGCAGCUCCCUCACCCCUCCAACCCAAGGUGGAGAGCAAAAAAGCAAGAUACUGACAGCACACAAGGAGCUGUAGAAAGUCCAUACUCUUGCAGGGCAGCAAGAAGCAGAAUGGAAGUGCAGCAAGAAGCAGAAUGGAAGCAGAAUGGAAGCUGUUCUUGUCCCGGCAGCGCUGCUAUAACCUCACAAACAGGUCCUUUCCCCCGGCCAUGGGAUCAGCCUCUCCCACUCCCACCACUCCCAUUCCUGUGCCAGUUAUGAGACUGAUGUUACAGAAUCAAGAGCAAUCCAUGUUCUCAGUCAUUGUUUCCUAAAUAGUGCCAUUAGAAUGGUAAAUUGCAACAGUAAAACAGUGUCAAUAGGAAGUUAUGAAGUUCCCAUUUUAUGAUGCAUUCAUAAAGUUAACUCAAUCUACUCAAAAUGUGGCUGUGAUUUCCACACAGUGACCUAUUUGCUAUGACAGAAGAGAUUCUGAUGAAAAACAGUUGAGUUUUAAGUGUGCUGGGACCCUGCUUUUACCCAGUAAAACACAGCAUAUUCCCUGUUGGAAUAUAUGUGCAUAUCAGAAUUUAUUAAACUAGUGCUUGUUUGA